UACGUAGGGUGCAAGCGUUGUCCGGAAUCACUGGGCGUAAAGCGCACGUAGGCGGCUUGUUAAGUCAGGGGUGAAAUCCUGGAGCUCAACUCCAGAACUGCCUUUGAUACUGGCGAGCUUGAGUCCGGGAGAGGUGAGUGGAAUUCCUGGUGUAGCGGUGAAAUGCGCAGAUAUCAGGAAGAACACCGGUGGCGAAAGCGCUCUGCUAGGCCGCAACUGACACUGAGGGACGAAAGCUAGGGGAGCGAAUGGG
rnacentral:rRNA from 1 species